UGGGUAACCUGCCCGGAAGUGGGGAAUACCUCGGGGAAACUCGAGCUAAUACCGCAUGACAUCUUCGGGACGAAAGUCCUGACGAUCAAAGCGGGGUCGCAAGAUCUCGCGCUACCGGAUGGGCCCGCGCCCGAUUAGCUAGUUGGUGAGGUAACGGCUCACCAAGGCUUCGAUCGGUAACCGGCCUGAGAGGGCGAUCGGUCACACCGGAACUGAGACACGGUCCGGACUCCUACGGGAGGCAG
rnacentral:rRNA from 1 species